GGUGAGGAACAUCAGUGAGAAAAUAUAACCAUUUGGUUGGACUUUGAGGAUGUACUACUUUGCUAACAGUAUUGCAGUGUCUUCCAGUCAUGAGGCCAAAGCUUCUCCACAGUGCUCGGUUUGCAGAUCCCAUGUCACUAGUCACAGCUAUGACAUUUCCGUCAGUGGAGUUUCCUGUGAAAUGGUAUGCUACUGUCUGUUUCCACCGUGAUGACAGUCCUCCCAACAUAAACACAAGAGCAUGAGUGGCACUACCACAAUGACCAGGCAAAGUCACAUUCCCAAGCAAUUGUCCACUACUUGCAUCAUACUCAAUACUAGGUGUAAUGGACAUUUCAUCUAAUGUGAGACAGCAGACUCUUUCCUCUUCACACAAAUUAUUUACCUUCACUGCUAAGUAUUUAAAAACUUGGCUGAAUGACCACCGAAUUCCUCGCAUUCCUCGGGACAAUGCUAGCAGCUGAUCUUCAGCAAACAGUUUUUUAAUCUUUGAUUCCUGACUUGCCAUUUGCUUAGCAAGUGCAUUAUUUCUUCUUGUAAUUUUGUGCAGUUUGGCUCUUGAAACUUGUAAUUUGGCUUUCAAUUUUACGACUUCUCUAGCUGUUGUAGAGGAAUCAAUUGAAAGGGUAUUAGAUUCAUCCACAUCUAUAUCUAGAUCUGCCACACUGGUUUCAUAUGCUACAGAGUCAUGUUGAGUUGCUUCAUCAUCGUUGGAAUUAUGUUCAGCUGUACAUUAAUCAAUUGAGAUAGAUUAGUUAACUUGCAUUAAUUGUACUUGGUUCUUCAUAGUAGUAAUUUAAACAAUUGAAAAAUGAAAACAAUCCCAAGAUUGAAGAAACUUCUACUAAACUUUGAAAUUAUGUCUACAUGUGUGCCUGUUGUCAUUACUG